GACGAACGCUGGCGGCGUGCCUAAUACAUGCAAGUCGAACGCAGUGGGGACGGGUGAGUAACACGUGGGUAACCUCCCAUCAGAGGGGAUAACACUUGGAAACAGGUGCUAAACCGAUACUGAUGGAUGGACCCGCGGGGCAUUAGCUAGUGGGUGGGGUAACGGCCCACCAAGGCCACGAUGCCUAGCUGGUCUGAGAGGAUGAUCAGCCACACUGGGACUGAGACACGGCCCAGACUCCUACGGGAGGCAGCAGUGGGGAAUAUUGGACAAUGGGCGAAAGCCUGAUGCAGCCAUGCCGCGUGUAUGAAGAAGGCCUUCGGGUUGUAAAGUACUUUCAGUAGGGAGGCGUUACCGACAGAAGAAGCACCGGCUAACUCCGUGCCAGCAGCCGCGGUAAUUC
rnacentral:rRNA from 1 species